CGCGAGUCCUCGGGUCUUGAACAGGCCCGGAGGCGCAAUGAAAGUGAAGGCGCGGCCGCUCGCGCGGCCGCGCCGCGGCCGGGACUCCGCUCCCGCUUCCCGGAGAAAGGACGGGCGGAAGCACCGGCGACUCGUCCCUUCCGAUUCAUCGGCGGGGCGAAGUCGGAGCGCGCGCGUUGGGACCCGAAAGAUGGUGAACUAUGCCCGGGCAGGACGAAGCCAGAGGAAACUCUGGUGGAGGUCCGAAGCGGUUCUGACGUGCAAAUCGAUCGUCAGACCUGGGUAUAGGGGCGAAAGACCAAUCGAACCAUCUAGUAGCUGGUUCCCUCCGAAGUUUCCCUCAGGAUAGCUGGCACUCAUUUUCCGAGAGCAGUCUCAUCCGGUAAAGCGAAUGAUUAGAGGCAUUGGGGCCGAAACGACCUCAACCUAUUCUCAAACUUUCAAUGGGUGAAGAGCCCGGCUUUCGUGAACGAAGCUCGGGACGGAAGGAUGCGAGUGCCCAGUGGGCCACUUUUGGUAAGCAGAACUGGCGCUGUGG
rnacentral:rRNA from 1 species